rnacentral:rRNA from 1 species
UACGGGGGGGGCAAGCGUUGUUCGGAAUUACUGGGCGUAAAGGGCUCGUAGGCGGCCAACUAAGUCAGACGUGAAAUCCCUCGGCUUAACCGGGGAACUGCGUCUGAUACUGGAUGGCUCGAGUUUGGGAGAGGGAUGCGGAAUUCCAGGUGUAGCGGUGAAAUGCGCAGAUAUCAGGAGGAACACCCGUGGCUAAGGCGGUUCUCUAGUACGGUACUGACGCUGAGGAGCGAAAGCGUGGGGAGCGAACAGG